UGCUAAACUUCCUAAGGUUGGCUGGGGUCCUUGGAUGGAGAACCUCCAAACGAAUGGACAGCAUAUCCACCAGAGGGUGCUGUGAGGGCAGGUCUGUGGCGGGAGGGGAGCUCCCCCAGUGACCCUUCAAACCCAGGGUCUCGUUUUGAAGACAUUGAUUCGACUUUCGCCGCGACUCCAGCAGAGCUGUGAUCCAGAGGAAGUCUGACCUCUGUCGCAGACGCCCG
rnacentral:lncRNA from 1 species